rnacentral:tRNA from 1 species
GCUCUCGUAGCAUAGUGGUUGGCCCAAUAGACCCACGAAAUGCGCCGUACUUAUAUUAUGCGGAUAUCGGCGGUUCGAUCCCGCCCUAGAGCA